rnacentral:rRNA from 1 species
GACGAACGCUGGCGGCGUGCUUAACACAUGCAAGUCGAACGGAAAGGCCCUGCUUUUGUGGGGUGCUCGAGUGGCGAACGGGUGAGUAACACGUGAGUAACCUGCCCUUGACUUUGGGAUAACUUCAGGAAACUGGGGCUAAUACCGGAUAGGAGCUCCUGCUGCAUGGUGGGGGUUGGAAAGUUUCGGCGGUUGGGGAUGGACUCGCGGCUUAUCAGCUUGUUGGUGGGGUAGUGGCUUACCAAGGUUUCGACGGGUAGCCGGCCUGAGAGGGGAACCGGCCACCUUGGGACUGAGAUACGGCGCAGACGCCUACGGGAGGCAGCAGUGGGGAAUAUUGCACAAUGGGCGGAAGCCUGAUGCAGCAACGCCGCGUGCGGGAUGACGGCCUUCGGGUUGUAAACCGCUUUCGCCUGUAACGAAGCGUGAGUGACGGUAAUGGGUAAAGAAGCACCGGCUAACUACGUG